rnacentral:tRNA from 2 species
GCCGACUUAGCUUAGCUGGCUUAGAGCAGUGGUCUUGUAAACCACAGGUCGUCGGUUCGAGUCCGACAGUCGGCU